rnacentral:lncRNA from 1 species
AAUCUUUUACUGAGCAGAGGUUCAACUUGAUCGCUGACCUUUUGCACUCUGAUCCCUUUGUGAGCAAACUGCCCAAAUUUGGUUUGUGUUGUCUUCAGUUAACUCUGUGCAUUGUUGGCACUGUGCAACAAGGUUUGCAUCCAUUGUAGUUGCAGUAAUUUUCUAAUUAUCACUUGUGGGGGAGUCGGACGCUGAUUUCCCAGGGGGCUGUUCUCAGUCUCACUGUGCUGUUGUUCCUGUUCUAUGCCAUGCAAUCUCACUGGGGCUGUCCACUCUGGCACACUUGACGCCAUCUCCCUACACACUGUAGUUGCGUAUUUAAGACCUGCACCAUCUUCUAAAAUAUUGACACAGGUCUUCAACAAGCGAGGCAUAUGGCAUUCUGAUAUCACUAUGCCAGGAGUCCUUGGGUUGUAAAACCACUGACUACUUCAUUUAGAAAUAUGUAAUUAAUAUUGCGUACCAAUAUUGUUGUUACUGAUAUUCGUUUCUUUUGAUACAUGCGUUGGCGCAAGUGUCCGUGUAUGACAAUCUUGCUUUGCAUUGUUUUGUACGUUUGUUAUCUUUGAGUCUUUUCAGCGUUAACUGCUAUUCUGUUACACAUUCUCCUAUUUCACUUGGGAUUGGUUUGCUUUGUAUUUUUAUACAUGUUUUCCUACUGCUACCAAAUUAUUUGCCCUGUCCCCCACAGUGUCCUUGUGCCAGCUCCCAUCCAACCACAGAGCCCUAACAGUCUCUGUAGUACUGCUGUGUUUUGUACUCCACAGACCAUUCUACAUGAGCAAUGAGAGUAGUGCCAUUGUUGAA